GUGGGAGAUCAUAAGUGGUGCCAAAACCCAGGAACUCGAGUUAUAAAGAAGGAACUGAUCAGGACGUUUCCUGGUGAGCUAUGGGCUGAGUUCCAGUUCGGCUGUUGGCUCAUGGCCUCCCCUGAUCCUUGGUACCUGGGUCAUCUUGGUGGAACAUCUAACAGCGAGCUGGUAUCAUGAGAAGAAGCAAGAGAGGACAAUUAAUCUUCAUAUCUUCUCAGGCUGGAGAAGGCGGGAGCAUCCUGAUCACAGACUACAGGCAACUACUCUUCAGUCUUCCAUUUGGUUCAGUGGUGCAUGCCUGCAAGCCCAGAGACUCUGGAGGCUGUGCAAAUUGGAGACCAACUUGGGCA